GUUGUAUGGUUAAGUGACUAAGCGUACACGGUGGAUGCCUUGGCAGUCAGAGGCGAUGAAAGACGUAGUAACUUGCGAUAAGCCCAGAUUAGGUAGUAACAACCAUUUGAGUCUGGGAUUUCUGAAUGGGGAAACCCACGUGCAUAAGCACGUAUCGUUAUGUGAAUACAUAGCAUAACGAGGCGAACCGGGGGAACUGAAACAUCUAAGUACCCCGAGGAAAAGAAAUCAACCGAGAUUCCGAAAGUAGCGGCGAGCGAAAUUGGACUAGCCCUUAAGCUUUACACGCGUUAGACGAACGGUCUGGAAAGUCCGACGAUACAGGGUGAUAGUCCCGUAGUUGACGACGUGUGUUCAGUGAAAUCGAGUAGGGCGGGACACGUGAUAUCCUGUCUGAAUAUGGGGGGACCAUCCUCCAAGGCUAAAUACUACUGACUGACCGAUAGUGAACCAGUACCGUGAGGGAAAGGCGAAAAGAACCCCUGUGAGGGGAGUGAAAUAGAACCUGAAACCGUGUACGUACAAGCAGUAGGAGCAGGCUUUGUCCUGUGACUGCGUACCUUUUGUAUAAUGGGUCAGCGACUUAUAUUCAGUGGCAAGGUUAACCAUCUAGGGGAGCCGUAGGGAAACCGAGUCUUAACUGGGCGUUCAGUCUCUGGAUAUAGACCCGAAACCAGGUGAUCUAGCCAUGGGCAGGUUGAAGGUUGAGUAACAUCAACUGGAGGACCGAACCGACUAAUGUUGAAAAAUUAGCGGAUGACUUGUGGCUAGGGGUGAAAGGCCAAUCAAACCUGGAGAUAGCUGGUUCUCCCCGAAAGCUAUUUAGGUAGCGCCUCGGACGAAUACUACUGGGGGUAGAGCACUGUUAAGGCUAGGGGGUCAUCCCGACUUACCAACCCUUUGCAAACUCCGAAUACCAGUAAGUACUAUCCGGGAGACACACGGCGGGUGCUAACGUCCGUCGUGGAGAGGGAAACAACCCAGACCGCCAGCUAAGGUCCCAAAUUACUACUAAGUGGGAAACGAUGUGGGAAGGCUCAGACAGCCAGGAUGUUGGCUUAGAAGCAGCCAUCAUUUAAAGAAAGCGUAAUAGCUCACUGGUCGAGUCGGCCUGCGCGGAAGAUGUAACGGGGCUAAGUAGUAAACCGAAGCUGCGGCAAUGUGCUUUUGCACAUUGGGUAGGGGAGCGUUCUGUAAGCGGUUGAAGGUGUGUGGUAACGCAUGCUGGACGUAUCAGAAGUGCGAAUGCUGACAUGAGUAACGAUAAAGGGGGUGAAAAACCUCCUCGCCGGAAGACCAAGGGUUCCUGUCCAACGUUAAUCGGGGCAGGGUAAGUCGACCCCUAAGGCGAGGCCGAAAGGCGUAGUCGAUGGGAAACGGGUUAAUAUUCCCGUACUUCUUACAAUUGCGAUGGGGGGACGGAGAAGGCUAGGUGGGCCUGGCGACGGUUGUCCAGGUUCAAGUGCGUAGGCUUAAGAGUUAGGUAAAUCCGGCUCUUUUUAAGGCUGAGACACGACGUCGAGCACCUACGGGUGUGAAGUCAUUGAUGCCAUGCUUCCAGGAAAAGCCUCUAAGCUUCAGAUUGUAAGGAAUCGUACCCCAAACCGACACAGGUGGUCGGGUAGAGAAUACCAAGGCGCUUGAGAGAACUCGGGUGAAGGAACUAGGCAAAAUGGUACCGUAA
rnacentral:rRNA from 1 species